GGAAUAUUGGACAAUGGGCGAAAGCCUGAUCCAGCAAUGCCGCGUGAGUGAUGAAGGCCUUAGGGUUGUAAAGCUCUUUUACCAGGGAUGAUAAUGACAGUACCUGGAGAAUAAGCUCCGGCUAACUCCGUGCCAGCAGCCGCGGUAAUACGGAGGGAGCUAGCGUUGUUCGGAAUUACUGGGCGUAAAGCGUACGUAGGCGGUUAUUCAAGUCAGAGGUGAAAGCCUGGAGCUCAACUCCAGAACUGCCUUUGAAACUAGAUAGCUAGAAUCUUGGAGAGGUGAGUGGAAUUCCGAGUGUAGAGGUGAAAUUCGUAGAUAUUCGGAAGAACACCAGUGGCGAAGGCGACUCACUGGACAAGUAUUGACGCUGAGGUACGAAAGCGUGGGGAGCAAACAGGAUUAGAUACCCUGGUAGUCCACGCCGUAAACGAUGAUAACUAGCUGUUCGGGCUCUACGAGCUUGAGUGGCGCAGCUAACGCAUUAAGUUAUCCGCCUGGGGAGUACGGUCGCAAAAUUAAAACUCAAAGGAAUUGACGG
rnacentral:rRNA from 1 species